UUAAGCGACUAAGCGUACACGGUGGAUGCCCUGGCAGUCAGAGGCGAUGAAGGGCGUGCUAAUCUGCGAUAAGCGCCGGUAAGGUGAUAUGAACCGUUAUAACCGGCGAUACCCGAAUGGGGAAACCCAGUGUGUUUCGACACACUAUCAUUAACUGAAUCCAUAGGUUAAUGAGGCGAACCGGGGGAACUGAAACAUCUAAGUACCCCGAGGAAAAGAAAUCAACCGAGAUUCCCCCAGUAGCGGCGAGCGAACGGGGAGGAGCCCAGAGCCUGAAUCAGCAUGUGUGUUAGUGGAAGCGUCUGGAAAGGCGCGCGAUACAGGGUGACAGCCCCGUACACAAAAGCGCAUGUGCUGUGAGCUCGAUGAGUAGGGCGGGACACGUGGUAUCCUGUCUGAAUAUGGGGGGACCAUCCUCCAAGGCUAAAUACUCCUGACUGACCGAUAGUGAACCAGUACCGUGAGGGAAAGGCGAAAAGAACCCCGGCGAGGGGAGUGAAAAAGAACCUGAAACCGUGUACGUACAAGCAGUGGGAGCACCCUUUGGGGUGUGACUGCGUACCUUUUGUAUAAUGGGUCAGCGACUUAUAUUCUGUAGCAAGGUUAACCGCAUAGGGGAGCCGGAGGGAAACCGAGUCUUAAUUGGGCGUUAAGUUGCAGGGUAUAGACCCGAAACCCGGUGAUCUAGCCAUGGGCAGGUUGAAGGUUGGGUAACACUAACUGGAGGACCGAACCGACUAAUGUUGAAAAAUUAGCGGAUGACCUGUGGCUGGGGGUGAAAGGCCAAUCAAACCGGGAGAUAGCUGGUUCUCCCCGAAAGCUAUUUAGGUAGCGCCUCGUGAAUUCAUCUCCGGGGGUAGAGCACUGUUUCGGCUAGGGGGCCAUCCCGGCUUACCAACCCGAUGCAAACUGCGAAUACCGGAGAAUGUUAUCACGGGAGACACACGGCGGGUGCUAACGUCCGUCGUGAAGAGGGAAACAACCCAGACCGCCAGCUAAGGUCCCAAAGUCAUGGUUAAGUGGGAAACGAUGUGGGAAGGCCCAGACAGCCAGGAUGUUGGCUUAGAAGCAGCCAUCAUUUAAAGAAAGCGUAAUAGCUCACUGGUCGAGUCGGCCUGCGCGGAAGAUGUAACGGGGCUAAACCAUGCACCGAAGCUGCGGCAGCGACGCUUAUGCGUUGUUGGGUAGGGGAGCGUUCUGUAAGCCUGCGAAGGUGGCCUGUGAGGGUUGCUGGAGGUAUCAGAAGUGCGAAUGCUGACAUAAGUAACGAUAAAGCGGGUGAAAAGCCCGCUCGCCGGAAGACCAAGGGUUCCUGUCCAACGUUAAUCGGGGCAGGGUGAGUCGACCCCUAAGGCGAGGCCGAAAGGCGUAGUCGAUGGGAAACGGGUUAAUAUUCCCGUACUUGGUGUUACUGCGAAGGGGGGACGGAGAAGGCUAUGUUGGCCGGGCGACGGUUGUCCCGGUUUAAGCGUGUAGGUGUGUGUUCCAGGUAAAUCCGGUUCACUUUAACACUGAGGCGUGACGACGAGGCACUACGGUGCUGAAGCAACAAAUGCCCUGCUUCCAGGAAAAGCCUCUAAGCAUCAGGUAACACGAAAUCGUACCCCAAACCGACACAGGUGGUCAGGUAGAGAAUACCAAGGCGCUUGAGAGAACUCGGGUGAAGGAACUAGGCAAAAUGGUGCCGUAACUUCGGGAGAAGGCACGCUGACAUGUAGGUGAAGUGAUUUACUCAUGGAGCUGAAGUCAGUCGAAGAUACCAGCUGGCUGCAACUGUUUAUUAAAAACACAGCACUGUGCAAACACGAAAGUGGACGUAUACGGUGUGACGCCUGCCCGGUGCCGGAAGGUUAAUUGAUGGGGUCAGCGCAAGCGAAGCUCCUGAUCGAAGCCCCGGUAAACGGCGGCCGUAACUAUAACGGUCCUAAGGUAGCGAAAUUCCUUGUCGGGUAAGUUCCGACCUGCACGAAUGGCGUAAUGAUGGCCAGGCUGUCUCCACCCGAGACUCAGUGAAAUUGAACUCGCUGUGAAGAUGCAGUGUACCCGCGGCAAGACGGAAAGACCCCGUGAACCUUUACUAUAGCUUGACACUGAACAUUGAGCCUUGAUGUGUAGGAUAGGUGGGAGGCUUUGAAGUGUGGACGCCAGUCUGCAUGGAGCCGGCCUUGAAAUACCACCCUUUAAUGUUUGAUGUUCUAACGUGGACCCGUGAUCCGGGUUGCGGACAGUGUCUGGUGGGUAGUUUGACUGGGGCGGUCUCCUCCUAAAGAGUAACGGAGGAGCACGAAGGUUGGCUAAUCCUGGUCGGACAUCAGGAGGUUAGUGCAAUGGCAUAAGCCAGCUUGACUGCGAGCGUGACGGCGCGAGCAGGUGCGAAAGCAGGUCAUAGUGAUCCGGUGGUUCUGAAUGGAAGGGCCAUCGCUCAACGGAUAAAAGGUACUCCGGGGAUAACAGGCUGAUACCGCCCAAGAGUUCAUAUCGACGGCGGUGUUUGGCACCUCGAUGUCGGCUCAUCACAUCCUGGGGCUGAAGUAGGUCCCAAGGGUAUGGCUGUUCGCCAUUUAAAGUGGUACGCGAGCUGGGUUUAGAACGUCGUGAGACAGUUCGGUCCCUAUCUGCCGUGGGCGCUGGAGAACUGAGGGGGGCUGCUCCUAGUACGAGAGGACCGGAGUGGACGCAUCACUGGUGUUCGGGUUGUCAUGCCAAUGGCACUGCCCGGUAGCUAAAUGCGGAAGAGAUAAGUGCUGAAAGCAUCUAAGCACGAAACUUGCCCCGAGAUGAGUUCUCCCUGAGACUUAGAGUCUCCUGAAGGAACGUUGAAGACGACGACGUUGAUAGGCCGGGUGUGUAAGCGCAGCGAUGCGUUGAGCUAACCGGUACUAAUGAACCGUGAGGCUUAACCUU
rnacentral:rRNA from 1 species